UCUAAGGAUGAGUGAAAGUAAAAUUUCAUUCUAAAUAAUAUACAUAGGUAAUGUUGACCGUCCUCAUUUCUCUUCUUAAAGUAGUGUUUCUCUUGCAUGGGGGCCGGUAGCUCAGUUGGUUAGAGCACACCCUUGAUAAGGGUGGGGUCGAAAGUUCGAGUCUUUCUCGGCCCACCAAUUUAAGAUCAUGGGGGAUUAGCUCAGCUGGGAGAGCGCCUGAUUUGCAUUCAGGAGGUCAGCGGUUCGAUCCCGCUAUCCUCCACCAAUAAACAUUUAGCUAUAAAAAAUUGUAAAUAAAAAUAAUAAUUAAUAUCAAUAUCUAUAUCCGAACAUUAGUAAUGUUAUUAGCUAAUGUUCAAAAUAAAAAUUUGAUUCAACACAGAAUUUUUUCUGUGCAUAAAU
rnacentral:tRNA from 1 species